GAUCCUGGNUCAGGAUGAACGCUAGCGGCAGGCUUAACACAUGCAAGUCGAGGGGUAGCACGAGGUAGCAAUACUUUGGUGGCGACCGGCGCACGGGUGCGUAACGCGUAUGCAACCUACCUUUAACAGGGGCAUAACACUGAGAAAUUGGUACUAAUUCCCCAUAACAUUCGAGAAGGCAUCUUCUUGGGUUAAAAACUCCGGUGGUUAAAGAUGGGCAUGCGUUGUAUUAGCUAGUUGGUGAGGUAACGG
rnacentral:rRNA from 1 species